UACGAAGGGGGCUAGCGUUGUUCGGAAUUACUGGGCGUAAAGCGCGCGCAGGCGGUUUUUCAAGUCAGUGGUGAAAGCCCGCAGCUCAACUCCGGAACUGCCAUUGAAACUGUAAAACUUGAGGACGAGAGAGGUGAGUGGAAUUCCCAGUGUAGAGGUGAAAUUCGUAGAUAUUGGGAAGAACACCGGUGGCGAAGGCGGCUCACUGGCUCGUAUCUGACGCUCAGGCGCGACAGCGUGGGGAUCAAACAGG
rnacentral:rRNA from 1 species